UUCGCUUCUCGGCCUUUUGGCUAAGAUCAAGUGUAGUAUCAUCUUCAACUUUUAAAGAGGUUGUUGGUUAUUUUAACUAAUAUUGUGUCAUAUGAAUAUCCCUGGGCAGAAAUAUUAUAUUAUUCCUUGAAAAUGAAAUAAUUGAUUUCUGAUGCGGUUUUCAUGCUCCUACAGCAGCAGAAAGAGAUACGCACUAACC
ensembl:snRNA U2 U2 spliceosomal RNA